AAUGUAUCCUUAAGGCCCCUACUUACUAUAUGUGACUUGGUCAGGCUGACAGAAUAAUUUGGUCUGAUCGGAUAUCAUAUCAGAUCGUCUAUAGAGGUAAAUUAAUUAAAAUUCUUUCAGAUCUUGUCAAGUGGAUGUCUGACCGUCUGACCGCCGACCAACCGAAUAAAUCGAAUCAUACGUAAUGUUGUUCGGCGAAUUUUCCUUAUCAGUCGGUUUUUUUUUUU